AACGAACGCUGGCGGCGCGUUUUAAGCAUGCAAGUCGGACGGUAGGGUGGUGCUUGCACUACCUGAGAGUGGCGAACGGGUGAGUAACACGUAGAUUAUCUACCUUUGGGAGUGGGAUAGCCUGUAGAAAUAUAGGGUAAUACCGCAUGAGGCCUGUUGAAGAGAUUUGGCGGGUGAAAGGAGCAAUUGUUCCGCCUGGAGAUGAGUCUGCGGUCCAUUAGUUUGUUGGUGGGGUAAUGGCCUACCAAGGCGAUGAUGGAUAGCCGGCCUGAGAGGGUGUACGGUCACACUGGGACUGAGACACGGCCCAGACUUCUACGGGAGGCAGCAGCUAAGAAUCUUCCGCAAUGGGCGAAAGCCUGACGGAGCGACGCCGCGUGAACGAUGAAGGCCGAGAGGUUGUAAAGUUCUUUUCGUGGUGAAGAAUAAAUGUAUGAGUGGAAAGCGUACAAGAUGACGUUAGCCGAGGAAUAAGCCCCGGCCAAUUACGUGCCUGCAGCCGCGGUAACACGUAAGGGGCGAGCGUUGUUCGGAAUUAUUGGGCGUAAAGGGCGUGUAGGUGGUUUUAUAAGCCUGGUGUUAAAAUCUCUGGCUCAACCAGAGUCGUGCGCUGGGAACUGUGAGACUAGAGUUCAGGAGGGGAAGCUGGAAUUCCUGGUGUAGGGGUGAAAUCUGUAGAUAUCAGGAAGAACACCGGUGGCGAAGGCGAGCUUCUAGCCAUGGACUGACGCUGAGGCGCGAAAGCGUGGGGAGCGAACAGGAUUAGAUACCCUGGUAGUCCACGCUGUAAACGAUGUGCACUGGGCGUAGGAUUCUUAUAGGAUUCUGUGCCGUAGCUAACGCGUUAAGUGCACCGUCUGGGGAGUAUUGCUCGCCAGGCUUAAACUUCCAACGACUUGACGGGGGCCCGCACGAGCGGUGGAGCUUGUGGGUUCACUUCGAUUGAUACGCGAGGAACCUUACC
rnacentral:rRNA from 1 species